GACGAACGCUGGCGGCGUGCCUAAUACAUGCAAGUAGAACGCUGAAGAGAGGAGCUUGCUCUUCUUGGAUGAGUUGCGAACGGGUGAGUAACGCGUAGGUAACCUGCCUUGUAGCGGGGGAUAACUAUUGGAAACGAUAGCUAAUACCGCAUAACAAUGGAUGACACAUGUCAUUUAUUUGAAAGGGGCAAUUGCUCCACUACAAGAUGGACCUGCGUUGUAUUAGCUAGUAGGUGAGGUAACGGCUCACCUAGGCGACGAUACGUAGCCGACCUGAGAGGGGGAUCGGCCACCCUGGGACUGAGACACGGCCCAGACUCCUACGGGAGGCAGCAGUAGGGAAUCUUCGGCAAUGGUGGCAACCCUGACCGAGCAACGCCGCGUGAGUGAAGAAGGUUUUCGGAUCGUAAAGCUCUGUUGUAAGUCAAGAACGGGUGUGAGAGUGGAAAGUUCACACUGUGACGGUAGCGUACCAGAAAGGGACGGCUAACUACGU
rnacentral:rRNA from 1 species